GGCUGGUUAGCUCAGUUGGUUAGAGUGUGGUGUUAUAAUACCAAAGCCAAGGGUUCGAUUCCCUUACUGGCCA